rnacentral:rRNA from 1 species
UACGAAGGACCCGAGCGUUAUCCGGAUUUAUUGGGUUUAAAGGGUGCGUAGGCGGACACGCAAGUCAGUGGUGAAAUCCCUCAGCUUAACUGAGGAACUGCCAUUGAAACUAUGUGUCUUGAGUACAUUUGAGGCGGGCGGAAUGUGUCAUGUAGAGGUGAAAUUCUUAGAUAUGACACAGAACACCAAUUGCGAAGGCAGCUCGCUAAACUGUAACUGACGCUGAGGCACGAAAGCGUGGGGAUCAAACAGG